AAUCCAUGCAUUGGACACUUACACAUCAAAUCCUUAAAAUGCUCACAAGCCUCAUAUAAACUUUCAUCUUCUAGUUGCUUGAAAUAUGUCAAAUCAUUUCGCAGCUU